AUUUUUUUUUUUUAAGUUUUGACUAUUAACUGACAUUGACAUGCAAUAUAAUUAUUGUUCAUGUUAGUUAAUCUUAAUAACUGAAACCUUAUAAAAAAGUGUUACUAAAGUAUUAUAUAUUGUUCUCUGUGUGUGUCUUUCAUAGUCUUGAUGGUUUGGAUUAACCCUUUAAUUGCCGAAUCCUUAAAACCAGACUGCCAUAGAGUUACAGUAAAUGCAUGUGCUCGCUGGGCACAGUUUUCCUGAUGCCACCGGGGCGGCGUUUGCACUGAUGGCUUGAGCCCGCCAUCGCUGCUUGCAGCUAUAUUUAGGGCCCGAGCCAAUGGGCGCAGGGCCCUAUUAUUUUCCUUAGGAUUAUUCUUAUUAUUUUUAUUUUUUUUAAACCUUCCGGGGGUUUUUAGGGGCCUUAACAUACUCAAAAACUCUUGAAAAUUGGCACACACAUUGGAACCUGCGGCCAUCAGGACGCCGCAGAGGCUGGAACCCGGGCGUGGCACAGGGGCUCUACAGCGCCCCCUGGAACACAGUCAGAAAUCUUGAACCAUAGCUCACACAUACUUGCAUGUAUUUAUAUGAAACUCUGUACACUUAUAGAUCUCAUUGAGCCGAACAACUUUCGCGCUCUAUGUCAUAGGCUCCGCCCAACAGGAAGUCAGCUAUUCAGGGCUGUUUAAAAAAAGCAUGCUCUGGAAUUUGAAAUACUCCUCUGAGGUUUUCCACCCGUUCUCCACGAAACUCGGUGAACAUGAUCUCAAGACAUUGGGGAUGAAAAAUUGCCAGGGGAUUUUUGAUAUCUCGAACGGUUUGUCCGUGGCGAGGCGUUGAAAUUAGGGCAAAAAAUGACAAGCAGGAAAUGUCUAAUAACAUCCACAUACAUUUUCUGAUUUAGAUGAAACUUCAUCGGAUUGUUCGUUGUAUGAUGCCGAUCGC
ensembl:lncRNA